ACGGGGUGCAGCAGGCGCGAAAAUUUCACAAUGCCCGCAAGGGUGAUGGAGGGAUUCGGAGUGCCUUCUCAUAUAUGAGGGGGCUUUUGACGACCUUAAAUAAGUCGUUGAAUAAGUGGUGGGUAAUACGGGUGCCAGCCGCCGCGGUAAUACCCGAGCCACAAGUCAUGACCACGUUUAUUGGGCUUAGAGCGUUCGUAGCCUGCUCUUCAAGUCUCUGAUGAAAUCCGGCAGCUAACUGUCGGGCGUGUCAGGGAUACUGUUGAGCUUGGGACCGGGAGAGGUCUGGGGUAUUCUUGGGGUAGGAGUAAAAUCCUAUAAUCCUAAGAGGACCACCUGUGGCGAAGGCGCCAGACUAGAACGGAUCCGACGGUGAGGGACGAAAGCCAGGGGAGCGAAGCGGAUUAGAUACCCGCGUAGUCCUGGCCGUAAACGAUGCCCGUUAGACAUUGUUCACCUUACGGGGGUGAGCAGAGUCGUAGGGAAACCGUUAAACGGGCCGCCUGGGAGUACGUCGCAAGGC
rnacentral:rRNA from 1 species